GGCUAAAUUAAUAAAAAUCAACUUUUCUCUUCAUAAACCUUCUAGAACAUUCUCUAGUAUCGCUUUUAUUUACAACUUUCAUGAUGUUCAAUUUUUUUAUAUUAUAUUUUCUUGGAAUAUGGCUCUUAAAUAAAAUCAUGUCUAAAUGUUCUAGAAUGCAGUGUAGGAGGAAGGAACUUUGAUCAUCUUCUUUUUUCUAUUUUUCUAAAAUCCCGCCACAUUUUCUAAAAUCCUCAAACUGAGCCGAGGCUCGUAUAUAGUUCUCCGCCACACUAUUUUAGCGGGCAAAGUGGAGGACAAAGUGGAGGACAAAGUGAGAGUGAGUGGAGCACAAUAGGAGCAUGGGAGUUGGAUUGGUAUUCUCUCAAUGCAACCAUGGCGUUUGCUUCUCUUAUAGACCUCUUUCUUCAGUGCAGCUAAUUUCUUUGGCAAGACGGAGAUUCAUCUGCUCCGACCGACUAUGCAGACUCUCAGUUCUUCUGUAAUGAUCUCUCGCGCUCUUUCUCGUCGGCGAUUGUUGAAAUAUUGGUAAUCUCUCAAGUCCUUUUCGAUUUUGGUUUAUCAAACACUUUGUCGAGUCUGUUCUCAUUCAGUUACGUUUGAUCCAGAGUUUGAAUGAAGCACCGAAGCUUUAAAAGUUACGAAUAAACUUCAUAUCAGAGUAAUAUCCUCGAUUUUUUUUAAUGUAGUUCCAGAUACCGGCCUUGCAAGCUGCCUAGAGGAGUUUUAAUUGACUGCUCCACUAGCACUCCGGCAGUGCUUGAUGAAUUGUAAAUUGCUUUGAUUAAUGCCUCGACGUUAUUUAAUUACUAUUCGUAUUAUUAUUUUAUUGAUUCCUUAGCCUGCGUUACAUAAGUUACAUUUAAUACAGUAGCUCGUGUAUAACAGUAGGCAUCUUUAUUGUUUUCCUGGGCAUGCGUAAUUUUUCUUACGGUUAACUUCCUUCUUACCUAUACGGCAACGCAUGCAUAGAUUGUUGUACAAACGAUUCCUUAUAUUUUCUCCUUAAUCAGAUAAGCUAAGCUAAGGAUUUCCGCAAACAGCAAGUCUGCUCUCAAAAAGCUGCAUAUAGCAGGCCGUACUUCAUCAUAUUAUUAUUUGUUUGAUGUAGUUAUCUCUGUUAUAUCCCUCUUUACUUAAAAAUUCAUUCAAGUACUUUCCACUAGAGUCAGACUACAGUACCAUUGUUACGUGGAUUAAUUCAUUUCUGGUAUUUAUGCAGAUGAACUUGUUUCUGGUAUUAAUGGCCCGGGGAGGAAUGUAAUAAGAUCUGCAUCAACACCUCUUAGGAAGAGUCAGUAGCUGUAUCCUAGAGCAUUGACUGGAAACGUUGUGGAUUGACUUUGGACUACGCUAUCAAUCAAAAAAAGCCAUACAUUAUUGAAGUGGGAAUACAAUCUUUUUGUAUUCAUAUUGUUGUCCACUACUAUCAUAAAGCUGGUAGCCGAGGCCAUACCGUUGGUGCAGAAGACGCUGUUUGACAAAAUAAACUCCCAAGGAUAUCAGUUAAACUUGCACUGGACGACUUCAAAAUUAAAUAUGCAGGAUUUCUUCUCAGGGCUAAUACCCUCAAGAUCAGUAGCUUUGCCUCGGAUCUUGCCAAAACGAUUGCUGGCAAAGUUUUAUACUCCAAUGACUUUGCAAUCUCCGCAAUCAGAAGGGGAAAUUAUUGACGAAAAUAUUAAGAAAUACAUCAUUUCAGCAAUAGAGAUGAAUGACCUUAGGCCACAAGGAACUGAAGAAGAUGGUUUUUGUCCAAUGGACGCGUAAGUACAAAUUGUGAUCCAGUGUUUUGCAUUGUUUGAAAGUAGUAAUAAUUUGGAAGAUAUUUUGGUAGGGGUAGAAUCUAUGAGAACAUUACCCAUUGUAGUUCUUCCAGCAUCUAUUAGGAGCUGAUAUUGGUCA